GUCUCAAAAGAUGAUGAUCCAGAUACUGUGGGAAGAUUUUCAAGAGAUAACAUGAACAUCAACACAGUGGUUACAUGUCUAAACCUUACCUCUGGGAAAAGAGCAAACUUUGAAUUUUGUCGACAGGUAACUCAGGAGAUCAACAUGACAGUCCUCAACAAGGGAACAGUUUUUUUCUUGGUUGCUUUCAUCCCAAGAGCCAGUGUGAUUACCAAGCAGCAAAAGCAAUUUGAUAUCCAGGAAUAUUUCACAAACCACUAAUUGAGGGUACAACUCCAGAUGAAUCAAAGACUACCACACUCCACUCCAGAAAAGGCUAAGCUGUUAGCCCAUCCAUUCUCCCAGUCACUAAGAGGGUCCCUUCACCUAUCAAUUAAUGCAAGUGGGCAUCAUCUUCUUUAAAAUGGGUCUGCCUGAAACAGUAAGCUUGAGGGUAAAGAUAGAGAAGGUGGUGAUAAUAUGUGAUUAGGCAUUAAAAAAAAAAAGCUCCGGAUGUGACUAUUAAAAAUAACUACUUCAUG